rfam:TPA: Bos taurus chromosome 11, whole genome shotgun sequence.
AUCACCUUGGAAUCUUGCUAAAAUGCAGAUUUUGAUUCAGUUGGUCACAGGUGGAGCCCAAAUUCUGCAUCUAUAACAAGCUCCCAAGUAAAGCAUU